rnacentral:rRNA from 1 species
UACGAAGGGGACUAGCGUUGUUCGGAAUCACUGGGCGUAAAGCGCACGUAGGCGGAUUUGUAAGUCAGGGUGAAAUCCCGGGCUCAACCUCGGAACUGCCUUUGAUACUGCGAAUCUCGAGUCCGAUAGAGGUGGGUGGAAUUCCUAGUGUAGAGGUGAAAAUUCGUAGAUAUUAGGAAGAACACCGGUGGCGAAGGCGGCUCACUGGCUCGUAACGUGACGCUCUGCACGACAGCGUGGGGAUCAAACAGG